AUGAGAUGCAUCCCAACAGGGGCAGGCAGAGGAGGCCAGGAGGAGGCUGGACACCGGGGUUGCCUGGCUGUCGCCUGCUUUCUGAACCCGAGGAACUUGAAUUGUGACAGGAGAUGACAACAGGCUGCUGAGCCGCUGAAGGAAAACAGGUUCCAAACGAGCCAAAAAGGGUGAAGGGGAAGGUAUGAAGACCAGACAACUCAUCAAGAUAUCCACCCAUACAGCAGCGAGGGAAACAGCUUCAGAGCUACCGGCAACUGUGGUCAGCGCCAGUCCAGCUCCUGGCACUGGGACAAACGCCUUUGUUCCAUUUCCCAAACUUCCUGUACUUUAAGACUGUGUUUUGGUAACAGAGAAUCCCAAGGAAUGCUAGCUCUCCUCUUAAGGGCGCGAGGCUUCCAGCCUACAGGAAGGCAGGCUGGUGCGGAGGUCAGGUGACCAUCAAGACCGGUGAAAAGUGCCCCAGUGAGGCAACCAGAGCUCAGAGGCCUGGCCCUGCACCCCCUGGAGACUCAGAUCCCAGUGAGAAAGUCCAGGCUGAUCAAUAGGCCUCAGGGUGAUGAAGGGGGAGCCUCGUACAGGCCUUUGAACCUCCUCUUUGGCACAGCAAGCCUGGGAAGCCCAGAUUGUCCAUAAGGGGUGGAGUAGCCCUGUGAGCUGGCUUAGCUGGCCCUCAGUUUAGUCAUCUGGAAAUGGGGACAGAAUACCCCUUACACAGGCGACUGGGAGGGAGGAUGUCUACUUAUUAUUGUGUGUGUGUGUGUGUUUUUAAAGGAUCUUGUUAUAUAACCCGGAUUGGCGUGGAACUCACUCUGCAGCCCAAGCUGGCAUUGGGUUUUCAAUCCUCCUGCCUCAGUCUGCUGAGAUUAUAGACAUCCACCACCACAUCUGGCUCUGUUAAGGGAAUUAAAUGCCCUUAAGCCUCUAGCAGAUCAUGCCCUGCACAGACGAGGGGUGGGGAGCAGAAAAAGCUGUGUAAAGUCAGACAACUGCUCAGCCCUGGCUCUUACAGACUGGGGAAUCCACUCCACACCAACGGGACUGGUAAGAUCUCCCGUGUCGGAGCUCUCUCUGAUCCAAAGUUCUGGCACUGGAAACCUGUGGCGUUCUGGAUUCUGGACUGUGAGGAUCCCUCAGGGGCCCAGACUAUGGAAACUGUCACAAUCUGUCCUGCCACAGCCAAGCAGCAGCCUGCGGGAGCGAGAUGGAUUAUGGCUUUGUGGGGAAUCAGAUGGCUAAAAAGCCUGUGAAGGUCACAAGAGACCCAUGUGGGCUGCAGUUUCCCUUCUAAAUGUUAGCAUUGACCUUAAUAAAAUAACACCUGUGCAUGUC